rnacentral:rRNA from 1 species
GACGAACGCUGGCGGCGUGCUUAACACAUGCAAGUCGAACGGUGACCUCGAGAGCUUGCUCUCGAGUGAUCAGUGGCGAACGGGUGAGUAACACGUGAGUAACCUGCCCCAGACUCUGGAAUAACACCGGGAAACCGGCGCUAAUACCGGAUACGAGACGGAGUCGCAUGGCUACCGUCUGCAAAGUUUUUCGGUCUGGGAUGGACUCGCGGCCUAUCAGCUUGUUGGUGAGGUAACGGCUCACCAAGGCGACGACGGGUAGCCGGCCUGAGAAGACGACCGGCCACACUGGGACUGAGGCACGGCCCAGACUCCUACGGGAGGCAGCAGUGGGGAAUAUUGCACAAUGGGCGAAAGCCUGAUGCAGCGACGCCGCGUGAGGGAUGACGGCCUUCGGGUUGUAAACCUCUUUCAGCAGGGAAGAAGCGAAAGUGACGGUACCUGCAGAAGAAGCACCGGCUAACUACGUGCCAGCCGCCGCCGUAAUAC